CUCAUGUUAGGCAACAUAGAAUAACAUUCUAAUUGAGUAAUACAGGCUUAGUCUAGCUUUUGUACAAGAGUGAAGUACAUAUGGUUAAUAUAGGCUAGCUGCGGGUUUAACCCCCGGUGCGCCUCUAGUUUCGUAUUUUAAUUAUAGUCAUGGAUCGGCAGCCAAAUAUUUUCAAGGAAGAAGAAAUAAAACCACAAUGGAACAGAAAGCGAUGAGGCAAUGUUAAUUUCUAUAGAUGCCUAACUCACUAUGCUAUAAAGCGUGUGUGUCACGUAAUAGGCUUGUAAAAGGGAAGCAAAAUUAGUGCACUGGCCUUGGCUACAUGCAAUUCUAGUCCCUUACUAUGCUAAUCUUAACGGCAAGAUUAAUAAAAAAUAACACAUAAAAUAGGCGAUUGCAAAAACUUCUCAUAGCCUAAAGAGUAGUCGGGUGAGUUACUCCUCAUAUAGUCAGAUAGUUUCCCCUCGGGGACAGUAGGCAUAGUAUCAGAUCAGUAUGCCAGUUUGUUGCAGGUGUCCCCAUUCACCCUAUACCAGAGGUCGGCAUAGGUCUGAGAACAGUCCGAGGCUUUCCGUGUGGAAGUUGUCUCCUGUGUUGAUGCUGUACGAUUCCGGCUCAAGCAGCCGCUUGAGCUGGCCUCCCGGCAUGUCUGCGUGCGUUGAGGCAUUGCUGGGGCUGGGCAGUCGUGUUUCCGGAGGUUUUCUCUGCUGGUUGUGGACGUUGGAAAGGGUGAGUGCUGGCGCCUGAGGUGCAAGCCAUUGCCACUCGCUGCUUUGCUCUCAGGCUUCGUCCCCUUCUGGAGGCCGCCCUGGGGGCUCGCUGUGGGUACUCACACAGUUGCCGUCGGGUAGCUGGUCGGACCCAUGCUGCUACCGCUUGGACCGCUUGUUUGAAGGGCCGGCCUUUAUAUCGGAGUUUUGACCAUAAGCUGGUGCAGAGUAGGUCAAAGAACUCCUGGGUGGAGUGGUAAGGGUGCCGCUUGUUCCAGGUUUCGUGAUCUUUUUCUCUUUCGCUGUGUGCCUUUCUAUGCUGAGUUGUGGCUGCAUCAGGCCACAUGUAGUGAAGCUCGGCUUGUCCGCCAUCUUGGGCACCGCCGCUUCCAUUCUGCUUGGAAGUUCAGCGGCUGCUAUGAUGUCUCGGCUUGUAGUUUUCCGUACUGGCGGGGACCGGGAUAACCCCC